AAUCAACGCUGGCGGCGUGCCUCAGACAUGCAAGUCGAACGAUUAAAGCUCUCUUCGGAGAGUGCAUAAAGUGGCGCACGGGUGAGUAACACGUAAGUAAUCUACCUUCGAGUGGGAGUAACGUCCGGAACGGACGCUAAUACCGCAUAACGCAGCGGCAUCGCAAGAUGACAGUUGUUAAAGAUUAUUCGCUUGAAGAGGAGCUUGCGGCAGAUAG
rnacentral:rRNA from 1 species